rnacentral:rRNA from 1 species
UACGUGGGGUGCAAGCGUUGUCCGGAAUUAUUGGGCGUAAAGAGCUCGUAGGCGGUUUGUUGCGUCGGCUGUGAAAUCCCGAGGCUCAACCUCGGGUCUGCAGUCGAUACGAGCAAACUAGAGUGUUGCAGGGGAGACUGGAAUUCCUGGUGUAGCGGUGAAAUGCGCAGAUAUCAGGAGGAACACCGGUGGCGAAGGCGGGUCUCUGGGCAACAACUGACGCUGAGGAGCGAAAGCGUGGGGAGCGAACAGG